AAGUGGAGACCCUGGCCCCUUCUCUCUGGCUGUGCUAGCCUGGUUCCUGUGACCUCGCUCUGGCCUGUGUUUUGCCCUGGUGUUUUCUUGAAUAAAGAAAUCUUACCAUCACGGACUAUAGUUCAUCUCUGGGCACACGCAGUAAUCUUAAGAAGUGCCCCUGUCCCAACUGCUGCCAGCAUGCUGUCCAAAUUGUACAAGAAAGGCACAAAAGAAAGGACUGCCAAACUUUGCCAAGACAGGGUUUCACAGAAAAGUCUGUCAGAUAUUCUAGGCCUGUAGGCCGAAAACAGAUGCUCCAGCAUUACAGAGGAACCUUGGGUGACUUUCCAGGCAGCCAGAUGUCUCAUAUCGCACAUUUUCUUGGAAGCUGUUUGCUCUGUACUUCCUGUUUAUUCAGUGUUGACAACAAAACCCAGGACAGAACCUAAAUUAAGGAAGCACUCCACCUCUGAGCAGCAUCCCCAGUCCGGAUUGUUUAGUCUUUUAAAAGAAUUUAGAAGCAGAGACUUGAAUGCAAAAUCAUUGGCAUUUGCUGAUCCAUUUUUAAAAUCAUAAAGCAAAAGGAAUAAUUCUAUCUGAAGUUUGGAUUUGGCAUGCAGCUGCCACUUUACAGCAUCCAAUUUAGCAUUAAUGGAUUCUAAGGACAUUUGUCGUAAAUGUGAUUUAUCUUGAGCACAUAGUAAAUACCAUGUAUUUUACUUUCCAAAUUACAGCCUGUUUUCAAAAAACACAAGGAAUAAUAACACAAUCACUCAUGUACUUGCUUUGUUAAUAUGUUUUCAGAUUUGCUUCAAAAGGAACCAAAAUACUAUGUAUGUUAUUAACACCCUCUUUGUGUCUUCCUUUGGUCUCCACUCCCUCUGCCUCUCUAAACACUACUGUCCUGAAAUUGGAAUCUCUCUCUCCCAGCCAAGAAGACCACUACAGUCUGUACACAUCUGAAAACCAAUGUGUUAUUUUCUUUUUCCUCGACCUUUUAGAGAAAUGGCUUUGUUCAAUCAGAGAAAAAAAUCUAUUGCAUUUCUGUCUAGCAACGAUAAACUGCUAGAAAACUAAUUUUUCAAAAAACCAUUUAAGAAUAACAUCAAAAAUAAUUUAUAUCUUGGACUCAAUCUAGCUAAAAGAUGAGCAGGGUAUUUAGCAGGAAAAUGGUAAACUUUAUCAAAAGGUGUUAAGUCACACCUAAAUAAUGGAAAAUGCAAAAAUCAUUAAGAUAGCAAUUAUUGGUGUCAUUCUGGUGACAAUUUUAAAAGGGACAUAAAGCAGAGAGGCAAAAAGCAAGUUGCAGAAGACACAUUUAUAUAAAUUCCAAAGUCAUGCAAAAUAAAAAUAUAUUGUUUAGGAAUAUAAAUUACUAAGAAAAGCGAGACGUGACAACCAGAAACAUACUAUGAAGGACAUAGUUGGAAGGAAGGUAACAGAACUAAAAGGGUAAUAAUAAUGGCCUAUGUUUUAAAUAGGUUGCUGCAAAUGUGAGUAUUCACUAUUUACUGUUAUGAAUGUUCUUCUGCUUUUCAAGAGUGUGCCAUAUAGCCCAGGGUGGCCUUAAACUUGCUAUCAAGUCAAGGAUGACCUUGAACUUCUUGUUAUCUAAGGUUUACUUACUUUUAUGCAUGUGAAUAUUUAGUCUGCAUGUGUGUCUGUGUACCAUGUUAUGUAAAAUAUUGCCCAGAAUUAUUACUCUUGCAAUGAUGUUAACAAUGAUCGUGAAUGUCAAGUGGUAAAUUUUAAUAGUGGCUAUGUUGUAAUAUUAAAUAAAAUGUGCAUAAAUUGAGUAGCCAUA